rnacentral:lncRNA from 1 species
UGAUUCUCGCGCGGCCGUGUGAAAACACGCUGGAAGCAAUUUUGGACUUUUAAUCACACAAGGAAACAUAAUUCUUCUACCAAGUUGAGAUAUCUAUUUAAGGGCAAAGACCAAGCACGAAUUCAGGACUAGGGAACACAAUCUUAGAGGAAGAGAAGCGAGAGAACGGAGAAACGAAGAUGAAAACCUGACGAAUCUUCAUCAUAAUUCUGCUUUCAUCUCUCAUUUCUAAAUCUAUAACUUUUAUUACUUUUAUUAUGUUUUUCGUACAUGAGUAGCUAAGUUUUUAAUCUAGGAUUUUGUUGGAACCCUAUGUGGGG